UACGGAGGGUGCAAGCGUUAAUCGGAAUCACUGGGCGUAAAGCGUGCGUAGGCUGUCUAGCAAGCCAGACGUGAAAGCCCUCGGCUCAACCGAGGAACUGCGUUUGGAACUGCUUGACUUGAGUCCGAGAGAGGGCGGCGGAAUUCCGGGUGUAGGAGUGAAAUCCGUAGAUAUCCGGAGGAACACCGGUGGCGAAGGCGGCCGCCUGGAUCGGUACUGACGCUGAGGUACGAAAGCGUGGGGAGCAAACAGG
rnacentral:rRNA from 1 species